rnacentral:rRNA from 1 species
GACAGAGGGUGCAAACGUUGCUCGGAAUUACUGGGCGUAAAGCGCGUGUAGGUGGAUUGGUGUGUCAGAUGUGAAAGCCCUGGGCUCAACCCAGGAACUGCACCUGAAACUACCAGUCUUGAGUGGUGGAGAGGGAAGUGGAAUUCCUGGUGUAGAGGUGAAAUUCGUAGAUAUCAGGAGGAACACCAGUGGCGAAGGCGGCUUCCUGGACACCAACUGACGCUGAGACGCGGAAGCGUGGGGAGCAAACAGG